rnacentral:rRNA from 1 species
CAGUAGCCGCGGUAAUACGUAGGUGGCAAGCGUUGUCCGGAAUUAUUGGGCGUAAAGGGCUCGCAGGCGGUUUCUUAAGUCUGAUGUGAAAGCCCCCGGCUCAACCGGGGAGGGUCAUUGGAAACUGGGAAACUUGAGUGCAGAAGGGGAGAGUGGAAUUCCAUGUGUAGCGGUGAAAUGCGUAGAUAUAUGGAGGAACACCGGUGGCGAAAGCGGCUCUCUGGCUUGUAACUGACGCUGAGGCUCGAAAGCGUGGGGAGCAAACAGGAUUAGAUACCCCUGUAGUCCCUGUCUCUUAUAC